UGCGGACGGGAAGCCGGUGGGAGAGGACGAUGGCAGGAGUGGGGAGGAGGCGGCCCUAGCGCCAUUUUGUGGGAGCGAAGUGGUAGCUGGGCUGCUCUUGGAUUCCUCCUUGCUUCAUUCUCCCUGUCGGGCUUCCUAGCAGCGGCCUAGCGGAGAAACAAAGAUGUCUGAAUACAUUCGGGUAACCGAAGAUGAGAAUGACGAGCCUAUUGAGAUACCAUCGGAAGACGAUGGGACAGUGCUGCUGUCCACGGUUACAGCCCAGUUUCCAGGGGCAUGUGGGCUGCGCUACCGGAAUCCAGUGUCUCAGUGUAUGAGAGGUGUCCGUCUGGUAGAAGGAAUUCUGCACGCCCCCGAUGCUGGCUGGGGGAAUCUGGUAUAUGUUGUCAACUAUCCCAAAGAUAACAAAAGAAAAAUGGAUGAAACAGAUGCUUCAUCAGCAGUGAAAGUGAAAAGAGCGGUCCAGAAAACAUCUGAUUUAAUAGUGUUGGGUCUCCCAUGGAAAACAACUGAACAGGAUCUGAAAGAUUACUUCAGUACCUUUGGAGAAGUUCUUAUGGUUCAGGUCAAGAAGGAUAUUAAAACUGGUCAUUCAAAAGGGUUUGGCUUCGUUCGCUUCACGGAAUAUGAAACCCAGGUGAAAGUAAUGUCACAACGACAUAUGAUAGAUGGACGAUGGUGUGACUGUAAACUUCCAAAUUCUAAGCAAAGCCCAGAUGAGCCUUUGAGAAGCAGAAAGGUGUUUGUUGGGCGUUGUACAGAGGACAUGACUGCUGAUGAACUGCGGCAGUUCUUUUGCCAGUACGGAGAAGUGGUAGAUGUCUUCAUCCCCAAACCGUUCAGGGCUUUUGCCUUUGUUACAUUUGCAGAUGAUCAGGUUGCCCAGUCUCUUUGUGGAGAGGACUUGAUCAUUAAAGGAAUCAGCGUACAUAUAUCCAAUGCUGAACCUAAGCACAAUAGCAAUAGACAGUUAGAAAGAAGUGGAAGAUUUGGUGGUAAUCCAGGUGGCUUUGGGAAUCAGGGUGGAUUUGGAAAUAGUCGAGGGGGUGGAGCGGGUUUGGGAAACAAUCAGGGUAGUAAUAUGGGUGGAGGGAUGAACUUUGGUGCUUUUAGCAUUAACCCAGCAAUGAUGGCUGCAGCCCAGGCUGCUCUGCAGAGCAGCUGGGGUAUGAUGGGCAUGUUAGCCAGUCAGCAGAACCAGUCUGGCCCAUCAGGUAAUAACCAAAGCCAAGGCAACAUGCAGAGGGAGCCAAAUCAGGCUUUUGGUUCUGGAAAUAACUCUUACAGUGGUUCUAAUUCAGGUGCAGCGAUUGGUUGGGGAUCGGCAUCAAAUGCAGGGUCAGGCAGUGGUUUUAAUGGAGGCUUCGGCUCUAGCAUGGAUUCUAAAUCUUCUGGCUGGGGAAUGUAGACGUUGGGUUACAGUUAGUUGGUAUACUGGUGGGAAUUCAAAUUUUUCUAAACUCAUGGUAAGUAUAUUGUAAAAUAACAUAUGUAAGAAUUUUCAAAAUUGGUUUGUUCAGUGUGGAGUAUAUUCAGCAGUAUUUUUGACAUUUUUCUUUAGAAAAAGAGGAAGAGCUAAAGGAAUUUUAUAAGUUUUGUUACAUAAAGGGUUGAAAUAUUGAGUGUUUGAACGUGAACUGCUGUUUGCCUGAUUGGUAAACCAACACACUACAAUUGAUAUCAAAGGGUUUCUCCUGUAAUAUUUUAUCCCUGGACUGUCAAGUGAAUUCUUUGCAUGUUCAAAAUGGAAACCAUUGAUUAGGACUACAUUCUUUUCUCCUUGUUUUAAUUUGAACCCCACCAUAUGGAUUUCUUUCCUUAGGAAAAUCUCUUCUUUGGAGAUCAUGGUGUCACAGUGGUUGGUUCUUUUGGUUUUUUUUUGUUUUUGUUUUAACACUUGUCUCCCUUCAUAUACAAAAGUACAUUAUGAAGCCUUCAUUUAAUCUCUGCAGUUCAUCUCAUUUCAAAUGUUUAUGGAAGAAGCACUUCAUUGAAAGUAGUGCUGUAAAUAUUCUGCCAUAGGAAUACUUCUGUCUACAUGCUUUCUCAUUCAAGAACUCGCCAUCACACUGCGCAGGCUGCGUCUUUGACGCCCUGAAUGCAAAGAAUUCAUAGCAGUUAAUUCCCCUUUUUUUGACCCUUUUGAGAUGGAACUUUCAUAAAGUUUCUUGGCAAUAGUUUAUUUUGCUUCAAAUAAACUUAUUUGAAAAGUUGUCUCAAGUCAAAUGGAUUCAUCACCUGUCAUGCAUUGACACCUGAUACCCAGACUUAAUUGCUAUUUGUUCUUGCAUUGUCCAAAGUGAAAAGUUUUUUUUGUUUUUUGUUUUUUCAAAUCUAGUUUUUAAUAAGUCUGGGUGACCACACCUAAAAUGGUAAGCAGUACCCUCCAGCUUUUUCUUAGUGCCUCUGUGCAUUUGGGUGAUGUUCUAUUUACAUGGCCUGUAUAAAUCUCCAUUGGGAAAUCAUCCUUCUAAAAAUAUUCUUAUUUGAAGGAAUGGGCAAAGCAAUGUUAAUUUAAAAUGCUUUGUAGCAAAGCCUGUCAAUUGAAAUGAAGGGAAUAUCAGCACCUUUCUAGAUGGGGAUUUGAAAAGUGGAAUUAAUUGCAAUAGGGAUAAAGUAGAAGAAACCACAAAUUAUCUUGUGCCUGAAAUCCAUUAAGAAGCCUGAUAGCUUUAAGAACUAGCCGGGUGGGUUGUCUGUCUGUGGAAGUGUUAAGUGAAAGGAGCUUUGUCUUCCAAAGGUGGGGAGAUAGUAUAAUGUCGAAUAAAUCUACAAAACUCAAGACUCUCACGGUGCAUUGUUAAGUAUGUAAAAGCAAUAAUAUAUUGAUUCUCUAUUGUACUUAAAAUGUAACUAACUUCUGUGAGAGUCAGCUCCUUUUCUAGUGGAAGAAUGUACAGUUUUUGUGUUGAUAAUUUACCUAAUGCCCUUAUCUAAUUAGAUUAUGAUAAAUAGGUUUGUCAUUUUGCAAGUUAUGUGUUUUAAACUUUUAUAAAUGAAGUCGUCUUUUAGGCUUAUGGUCGCCACAUUGUUUUAUUCAGUUUCCUCUGUAAAGGAUCUUGCGUUGUUUUAAUUUUUUUUUCUGCAUCUAAAUUGCAUGAUUUCCAAACCCUGUACCAUCUGAAUUUUGCAUUUUAGCACUUGCACUAUUACUCAGCAGCAGUAACAUGGUAACUUAAAAUGGUAUUCGGGGACCUCCAAAGACUAAACUGACAAGCCUUCAAGAAGCCCAGGGGUAAGUUAACUUUGUCAAUGGCAUGGUUUUAAUCCCUUAUUUACACUUGUAUAAAUCUAGUUACCAGUCUUAGAAGGCUUUCAAUGUUGAGUAGCCUUCUAUUAACAUGUUUAUGGUACUACAUAGCUAUGGGUAUUUAAUUCUACCCUAAAAAAAAAAAAAAUUGAAGUUUAGAAGUAAACUAUUUGGCAAAGAUUUGUUUAAGUCUAUUUGGUCAUCUAAAUGCAUUCAUUCUAAAAACUUUUGAACCAGUUGAAUAAAAAUUUUUGUUGCCACCACAGUUUAGUGUCUGGAGUCUUACUGGAAAAAUACAGUUUCUUUUUUUAUUUAUGUGACAAAGAUGCUGGAAAGUUAGCUUUAAAAAGUGAGUCUCUAGAAGUUGCACUUUAUAUGUACAAGAGAAGUUAGGUGAAAUCACAGUGAAUUUCUACAUAAUAAUGGUGACUCUUUGGCUAGAAUGAGGAAUUUUGUUGAGUGUUAGGUAUUAAAACUUUUUAGGGAGGCCAACUAAAUGAAAUUUUUUAAGGUUGGGUCAGGGCUUAAAUUUUGUCCUUAGGAAAGAUGUUAAGUACAUAGUAAUUCAGAUGUAUGUGAUAAUUAGAAUAGUUUUUUGUUGUUGAUUACUAGGAGAGCAACUCUUAACUGUGUAUUUAAGUUCUGUACUCAGCUGUUGUAUGAUCUGUAAUCUAUUUUUAAGUGUGCCCAAGUAUUUCAUGUUCAUUGUAAGAAAAAAAACACUACAUUUAUUAAUAAUACCGCCACUUAUUUUUAAUAUAUUUCAUCUUAUGAAAAUGCCACUUUUGAAUCAACUGUCUUCUGAAUUUGAACAUUAUUUAGGUUAUUUCCAAGUGCUAGGAAUAUUCUCACAGCUAAAUUAAAAUCUUAGCAUUGUAAUUACCAGGUCAAAGACUAUGCAUGCUUUUAAGACUUGUGAAAUAUAUUGCCAAAUUGUCCUUUAGAAAAUCUGUUGUCUUUGACAAUGUGAAAUAGUGCCGUUCGUGUUCUUUGUUUGGCAGUUUUUUAUAAUUAAAAAAUGAUAGUGUUGGUUUUAACAUGGAAAUCAAUCUAUACAUAGGCCAAAGUGUUGCUAUUUCCAAUUUAUCUACCCAAGAAAAACAUUCAAAGUAACUCCUGAACCAGUACUGCUGUAAUAUAUAACAUUCUCAGAUCAAUAAGAACAAAUAGUUAAAGAACAUGAAUAGGAAAUUUCAUAGAAAUGCAAAUGGAUAGUAGAAAAAGACACUGGACUUUGUUAAGUAAGUAAAUGCAGAUUUAAUCCGAGUUUGUAAUGGAUUGGCCAAGAUGAGUAUCACUACAGUGGCUUAUGUCCCCUUGAAUCAAAGAGUUAAGUAGUGGAAGAGUGGCUAGUGGACACAUGCCUGAAAGGCAGGCUCACCUGCAGUCUGGUUCAGUUGGGGUGGAAUGGCAGCACUCCUGUUCAUGUUUCUCAGGUCAAUUUGCCACUAAGAUCUUUUACGGGUAUUUUUUAAAACAAAGAAUCACGUACUAGCUGAAGACACAAAGUUAAAAAUUACUAUUAAUGAUGCUCUUGAUCCAGGGAAUGUAGUUUAUGACUUUGGUGUAGACCCCAUACUGAUCUGCUUCCCCACAAUUAAUGGAACCCCAGGACACUAUUCCUCCCACAAACCACUUCUGUGUCUCAUUAUCUAGAAACACUAAAGCCCCCCCACUGUCACCUCUACAGCUGUCCUUGCCCCCACUUUGCAAGCCAGCACAAAGCAUGUUAUCAGUUACCCUUCCCUCUGGAUAGGACUUCUUUUCAUAGGCAGCAGUACAUUUUUGAUGGUCAACAACUGGUAUGUCAACAAACUUUAGAUUUCUGGCAAGAAACCCUCUUUGGGUUAAUCCCCAUCCAGAUGCAGUUCCAAUGUCAUUUGUCCUCAUGAAAGAUUCCGCUUCUUUUCUUGGCAAACAAAUAGGCAUGAUGUUGCUGUUGAUUGCAACUUUGUUCUUCAGUUUAAUCAGUGCUAUGUCGUUAUUGUAACCAGCAUCAUGAAUGUAACUUCCGUGUAUAAAAAUGGCCUCCGCCCAGGCUUGUGUAUAAUUAGGUGAUAUUCUCUUCAGGGCACCCAUUCUAAUCUGCAGGGAGGCAGCGUCUUCUCUUUGGUCAUAUACAGCAUGAGCAGCUGUUAGGAUCCAGUUGUCGUACAGAAGUGCACCUGCUGCCAUAGUUUUACCUAGUAACAGCACUUGCCAAGGAAAAUAACCAAGCUUUGCAUUUUGUCCUCCAUAUAUACGACCUUCUGUAGUACGGGUGGAUAUUCCACACACUGGGGAAAGAAGCAGAUGUAUAGAGGCUUUACAGAAACCUGAUGGUGUUUUUCUCCAAUUAUUACCACUUUGGAGUUGUCAAUUACUCAUGUUUAAUGUCAGCCAAAAAUUGCAUCACACGAAUUGGUGUUUGUCCACCUGUACAGGCAAGUGAGUAUAGUAUAUAUGUUUUACUGCUCAAAACAUUGUUCAAAGAUCGAUAAAACCAUUUGGUAUUUUUUAGCUCCUCAGAAAAUGAGGUGAGUGAAAAUUAAUAUGUAGAAACUAAUUUGUUUUGCCAAAGUAACUUGGUCUCAGGACUGGGAAUGUGUUCGGUAGGGCUAACAGGAGUUGUCUGAGCUGGUGUGCGCAGGAAGUGAAAGUAAAUAACCUCUCCAUUGCUUCUGUUUUCCUGCUUGUAAAAUGGAGUAUCUACAAUGUAGUUCUGGGAAAGCAGGAACUAGGGUCAGUAUCAUAGGAUUUGCAGACUCCUUUCACCUUUGAACAUUUAAAUGUUUUAAAAAUGAGAAUGUUACAGUUGUAGCCAGGAACCUUCAGGUUCAGAAAUUAUUUCUGGUCUAGUUGUUCCUUCCAGACACUAGACUUUACUGUAUAUUGCUAACUAAAUAUGCUUAUUAAUGUAGCAAAUCUGUUUCCUGUUGUGGCAGAAUACUCUUAGGAAAGCUUAUAAACAUUGUGUCAACUGAGAAGACUAAACCCAGUAACGGGUAAUGGAUAUAUUAUUACUUUUCUGAUUUUUCUUCUUCUUUGUCAACUAUAUCUUCAGAGCCAAUUCUGGUAAAAACUUUUUCUGAGUACUAUUAAAAGGCAAAUUGCAUUAAUGUUUAACAACUAGAUGUCAUUGGAAACAAUUGCUUAGGGAAAUAAUGAGGUUAUUAGCUUUGGGUUUUAAUAGCAUUUCUAUAGGGAAGAAAAGUAACAGAAGAACUCGUGUUUAUAAAUGUAUAGAUGGUUCAAGAUAAUUUUAAGUAUUUAAUUUUUUAUGCUUGCCUAGUUGUAAGGUCAAAAAUAAUCAAAUGACUGAUGCAGUCAGGACCUAACAAACCUCUCCACAUGGAAAGGGGUAAUGAGAACAUAUUACUUGGAAAUAAUAAGUUGGUCUAAGAGCCAAGUGCUGAAGUUACAUUUCUGCCUACACAGCUAAAGCGCUACUUACUGUCUUCUACCCAGUUCUACUUUCCAUCAAUUACAAAUCUCUUGUAUAAAUGUAUCCAUUACCAGGCUCACAGACUGGGAGUGAUUUUUCUCUUUUGGAGCUCGUCCAGAAUCCAUCAGCCUCACACACAUAUUUACCUGCAAAUCAUUGGAAAAACAAAAAUGUUUAACUGCAUGUAAAAGGUGGUUGUCAUUUGCUUGAAUACCCCCUUGAAAAAUGUUGAUUCUUGAGCAUCAGUGGGAAAUAGAGGUUCUGAAUAACCGUUUUACAUGAUUUCAUAAAUAGGAGGUCUCUGCAUUACCAUGUUUGCUUGCAAAGUGGAAACCUUUUAGACGUGUAACUUGAAUAUGUAUCAAGAUCUCAAGUGCUUAAUGAUAAGGUUUUGACUUGUUAAAUUAAACCAUUUGGAAUAUA